UGGGGAAUAUUGGACAAUGGGCGAAAGCCUGAUCCAGCCAUGCCGCGUGUGUGAAGAAGGUCUUCGGAUUGUAAAGCACUUUAAGUUGGGAGGAAGGGCAGUUACCUAAUACGUAUCUGUUUUGACGUUACCGACAGAAUAAGCACCGGCUAACUCUGUGCCAGCAGCCGCGGUAAUACAGAGGGUGCAAGCGUUAAUCGGAAUUACUGGGCGUAAAGCGCGCGUAGGUGGUUUGUUAAGUUGGAUGUGAAAUCCCCGGGCUCAACCUGGGAACUGCAUUCAAAACUGACAAGCUAGAGUAUGGUAGAGGGUGGUGGAAUUUCCUGUGUAGCGGUGAAAUGCGUAGAUAUAGGAAGGAACACCUGAGGUGAAGACGGGUUGCUGGGCUGACACUGACGCUGAGGCGCGAAAGCCAGGGGAGCAAACGGGAUUAGAUACCCCCGUAGUCCCUGAGCGGGCUGGCAAGGCGCAU
rnacentral:rRNA from 1 species